rnacentral:misc_RNA from 1 species
GAUGAAGAACGUAGCGAAAUGCGAUACGUAAUGUGAAUUGCAAAUUCCGUGAGUCAUCGAAUCUUUGAACGCACAUUGCGCCCUCUGGUAUUCCGGAGGGCAUGCCUGUCUGAGCGUCAUUGUCAACCCUCAAGCUCAGCUUGCUGUUGGGUCCCCGUCGUUGCUUUAACGGCGGACCCGAAAGGUAAUGGCAGAGUCCGUGAGACCCUAGACGCAGCGAGCUUCUAGCACGCGUCUGGACGUUUUUCGGGCUCGGUCUUAAACUAGAUGAUAACUUCCGAUUGACCUCAGAUCAGGUAGGGAUACCCGCUGAACUUAAGCAUAUCAAUAAGCGGAGGA